rnacentral:rRNA from 1 species
CCUACGGGAGGCAGCAGUGGGGGAUAUUGCACAAUGGGGGAAACCCUGAUGCAGCGACGCCGCGUGGGUGAAGAAGCGCCUCGGCGCGUAAAGCCCUGUCAGCAGGGAAGAAAAUGACGGUACCUGAAGAAGAAGCCCCGGCUAACUACGUGCCAGCAGCCGCGGUAAUACGUAGGGGGCAAGCGUUAUCCGGAUUUACUGGGUGUAAAGGGGGCGCAGACGGCGAAGCAAGCCAGGAGUGAAAGCCCGGGGCCCAACCCCGGGACUGCUCUUGAAACUGCGUGGCUAGAGUGCAGGAGGGGCAGGCGGAAUUCCUGGUGUAGCGGUGAAAUGCGUAGAUAGCAGGAGGAACACCGGUGGCGAAGGCGGCCUGCUGGACUGCAACUGACGUUGAGGCCCGAAAGCGUGGGGAGCAAACAGGAUUAGAUACCCCUGUAGUC